GCCAUAUGAUGUUGGAACACCAGUUCUCAUCUGAUCACUGGUUAAGCAAUGACGAUUCUGAUCAGUACUUAGAUGGGUGACCACUUUGGAAUACUAAGAGCUGUAAG